GCCAGACAGCUCUGCCCAAAUCCAAGAUCACCUAUGACUUUGUCAUUCCUUGACAGAAAACUGUUGAAACUCUUCCUGGAUACUGAAUGAUGGCUACAGCCCAGUCCCUUUGUCUGGAGCUGUGGUGGUGCCACAUUGCUGUGACCCCAUUGCACCAGUCAGCACUGCAGGAUCCACUUCCCCAGGGCUGGAUCCUGAUCCCUCUGCCAUAUCAGCCAGGUGAGGAGAAGGACAGACCCCUGCCACCACCAAGGACAGCCCAAAUCUCUCCUGUGCCUCGUCCAAAAAGGUAUUUUGCACAGAGAAAAAACUAUGCUCUCUUCUAAAGGGAGAGAAUGAGUAUCUAAGAUCAUACAUCUAAGUCUCCAUGGUGUGAAAACCCCAGGCAAUCAUGAACAAAACUGCUUCAGCUCUAUGCCAGAGUCUUCCUGGGAGGAGGUGACUUGCAGAGUUGUGAGUUAGGAGUCAGUGUGAGCAGAAAUCCUCCUGCAGAUGCAGGGCGCUCACCGGAAACAAUUGAGAAUGGCAGUGGUAUCCUGCAGGAUGUGUGCGACGUGCUCAGCUGGGGCUUGAUUUACACAGGGCCACAUUAUAGAUUAUACAUUCUGGUAAUUGUGGUAUUGUUAUUGCUGGGCUGGAUCUAAGCACAGGAAGUACAUAUAAGCACAUUUGAAGUGAUAAUAUCCACUCCCGUUUGAAAAGCAAUAUUUUAUUCUCGUACAUGAUACAGCGUUUGCGAGGGAAAAUAGAUAAUUUACUAACUGGUACUAGAAAUACUAGAAAAAAAAUACUAGAAAAUAGGUAAUUUACUAAUUAGUACUAGAAAUUCUAGAAAAAAAAAAUACUAGAAAAUAGAUAAUUUACUAACUAGCAUGACUUCUAGGGAAAAAGCUGAUUCAUUAUGGGAAGCCGCAAUCAGGAUUUACAAAUAAAUCCACUUAAAUUUUUACUCUUAAUCACUUUAAUUUAUUUUUUUUCAGGCUGUAAUCCAAGAUCAGGAAGGAGACAAUGCAUUGCCAUCUGAAACACAAGAAAGAUCAUAAUAAGUUUUCAGUGUGCCACCAAAACCACAGUGCUAGGUUUCUGUUGAGGCGAAUGAGUAAUACCAUUCUAGCUGUGAAGGUUGCUGUGAGUGGGCAAUAAUUCCAUCUAACUGAUAGGGCAGAUUAUGUAUUCUGCAAGAAAAUAAAUAAUCCCAGGUAAAAUCUUGCCCUAUUUCUUUAGGUCAAUAAGAGAACCCACCGACUGUACCCACUUGGCUGAAGUUGCUUUAUGCAUACUUGUCUAACUUUAGGAUUCAGGAACAGGUCUGUUCUCCAUCCUACAUCCCCAAAACAGCCUUGCUCAGGAACACAUUGCCUCCAACCUUGGUGUGGAGCAGGAAUCUGUUCCUGCUGCUUCUCCCAGGAUGUGAGAUGACCCCCAGCUCUGCAGCUGCAGACAGAAUGUGUCAAGGCCCCUCUCAGGGUCUCUCUGCCCAUUUCUCUUUAACAGUGUAGGCUUCAGACCUUUCUGUGUACCCAGGGAAUUUACUGAUCAGGGCUCCCUCCUGGAGGGGGAUAUGGGUCUAUUCAGAACAGGGAUGCAAUAGCCAUUCAAAUUUUGUGUGCCAACCUGUUCUCCACAGACAACACAAACUGACAGAACACAGGUAACAUAUUGUGAAUGCUGUGCCUAUUUCUUACUUUGUUUUGCCAGGGAAAAUAGAUUAAAAUUGGUAUUAAGUUUCCUUCUUGUUCCUCCAAUAAUAGAAAAUUACCAGGGAAGAGAAAAUAAGACAGAUUUUGUUCUCUAGAAAGGCCUUCAGAUAAAUGGUUUUUUUUUUCUUUUAAUAUUAUGAAACAUUCUUGUCUGCCUUAAUAGAUGAGAAAAGUAACAGUAGAACUGUGAAACAAAUUAGUACAUCAGAAAUAUCAAUCCUUGGACCAUAGCUAAAUCUAUAUUCAUAUUUUUAAUAGUACUGCACAUCAAUAAUACAAAGCUAUAGUAAUUCUAUACUGUAUACAUUGAUUUGUUGAAAUGAUAGUUAUGGUUGAAGUUCUAAACAGACACUGCAACGUAAAAUAAAGGACUGACCUACUAACAGAUCUAAUAAAAACAUCUAAUAAGAAAGUAAGUAAUACAGUAAGUAAUACAGUAAGUAAUCCAAAGCCUAAUGAUUUGUUUCAGUUUCAUGAAAAACUUUUUAUUGUUUUCUGUCUGUGGUAUUUAACAUUUAGAAUACGUUUUCCUUUAUAAAUUUUAAAUGCUUCUGGUCUGAAAUUUUUGUGCAGACAGUCAAACUAACAUUGAACAGAAGUAUACUUUUUUCAGAUGUCAUACUUACAAAAUUUUGAAAUUAAAAUCCUGCUGGUGCCUCCUAAUAUUAAUAUGCCUUUUCAUUGGGGUAGGCUCAUUACAGUCUUCUUUUGGAAGUGUCAUCUGCUUAAGUAAGAUUUGAUUUACAAAGCAAUGCUAAUAUGUUUCAUUUUAAUUAAGAUCUUCGCUAUUUUCCUAAAUAGGAAUAUCUGUCCCUAGUUUUAACUUGUAAUACCCUGUUUAACAAAAGAGCAGCUUCAAUCAUACUGAGAGUACUUAUGCAAGUUUUCACAGUUGAUUGCUGGGAUGAGAGCUGUAAAAACAAGGAUCAGGUGAAGAUCCUUUCUUGGAUAUGAGCCUCUAUUUUUAUUUGUAGUUCAUAAGUCUACUUAUUAAAUAGACAAUAAUGACUAUAAUCAAAUAUAUUUAUAUUUUUGUGUGUCAUUGGAGUCAAACAGCAACCUACAUGGCUGCAGUGUGUGUGAAUGUUCCUGCAGUAAAUUCAGGUUUUGGCUUUCAUUAGGCAGUAAGACAUGUUGCCUGCAAAAAUAUCACACAACUUGAAAAGGAGACUCUAAUUUCAUAUGGGAAAUUAUUUCAUCCCUCUUACAUGAGAUCAAAAUCACUAUGCCUUUAAUCAUUACUAUGGAAAUGAAAAUACCAGGCCACCAGGAUUUGCAAUUAACUUGAGACAUCCAGAGGAAAUUCUGUAAGUUGCUUUAGUCUCUGUAUUUUGUCUUGUCUGAAAUCUGUCUGAUUUUUGUUUGAGUUUAUAACAGCAAUUGUUAGUGGAAAUGUCUGUGUUUCAAUUGAAGUGUUCUAACGAGCUUUCUGGUCUCACUUGAGCAGAAUAACAACACCCAAAACAACUGAGAUGUCUUUAGGUCUUAGAUACUUGGUUUAAAUAUUCUAUGAAGUACUUGAAAAGGUAAGAGUUCCUUAAGCAUCAGAAGGCAGAGAGUUUAAAGAUCAGACUGAGCCAUGCCUCCUGCAUUUAGUUCUCCAAUAAAUCUCAGGACACUGACCAGCUGGACUGCCAGAUGUCCUCCUCCACAUUUUGGGUAAGUAAUCACUUGGGCCUGGGAUCUGCUGGACUACCUAUGCCUGAAACCAUUUGCAGUUAUUUUAGGUGACAUACUAAAGUAGUCAGCAUGAGCUUAAAAGACUUUAUCCAGCACUUUGACAGCAUGCCAGAAGAAAUUCCUUGGGAUUUACAGUCUAAGAUUUCAUUUCAAUUAAUAGUCAGGAUGCUGAAUAUUAUUUAUUCCACUCUAAAGCUCAUUUUAAUCUAAAAUAUGAUCAGAUAGGGUCAAUGCAGGCAAAAUUAUACUUCUUCCUACAUAGAAGCCCAUCUAGAGAUAAGCCAGUUUGCUCUCCUGUCCCUAGAUUUGGUCUGCAAGGAUAACAGGAAUGGCGACUGCAGCUGGCCUAAGAUUCCCUUGCACUUGAACCUCAUAUAAUUAGGCAAGUCUACUUUCCCGCCAAAUAUAAUUAUUAUAAACAACAAUAUUAUGAAUUGAAACUUCUCAAAGUUGUUAAAUUCUGUCGAGUUUGGAAGAGGAGCUUUAUCAGGCAGAUCCUCAGCGAGGCAUUGGAGCCCAGUGGGCAGAGUGCUGGACAGGGAUUGAGAAAUCUGAGUUCUCUUCCAGACUCUCCUGACUUUUAAACGACCUUGAGCUGUCACUCCCUUGUGCUGUGGUUUCACAGUCUGUAUGAGCAGGAUAAUAAUCCUCCACAAAGGUUUGAGAGUUGCUGAAGGAAGGACCUGUAUGAACACAACAUUUCUUGCCCUAGCCUGAGCUAUGUGCAGCUGUGGUUAGAGGUGGCCAGGAUCUGGUCAAUUCCAUCCUCAUCUAUUCCAGAAAAUCUUCAUUUUCAUUGUUAGACUCCUUGCUUUCAGCUGUCUGUCAAAACACAUGUUCAUGUUAAAGGUCUUUCUUAUCUUUCAGACCAUUACAAAAUGUCUCCAGAAAAUUUCGUUUGAUUUAGUUCUGCAUUAAUACUCAGUUCAUAUUCCUGUUACUGGGAACUGCAAAGUGCCUCUCAGAAUCAUACAGAUAAUUACUUAACAUGGAUAACGUAUCUUUGACCUAAAAAAGAAAAUACUUUUGCAA